rnacentral:rRNA from 1 species
GGAUAGAGGCCUACCAUGGUGGUAACGGGUAACGGGGUGUUAGGGCACGACACCGGAGAGGGAGCCUGAGAAACGGCUACCACAUCCAAGGAUGGCAGCAGGCGCGCAAAUUACCCAAUCCCGACACGGGGAGGUAGUGACAAUAAAUAACAAUACGGGGUUCUUUCGGAUCUCGUAAUUGGAAUGAGUACAAUUUAAAUCUCUUAACGAGGAACAAUUGGAGGGCAAGUCUGGUGCCAGCAGCCGCGGUAAUUCCAGCUCCAAUAGCGUAUAUUAAAGUUGUUGCAGUUAAAAAGCUCGUAGUUGAAUUUCGGGGUUAGUAGGUUGGUCAUGCCUCUGGUAUGUACUGAUCUCACUGAUUCCUCCUUCCUGAUGAACCGUAAUGCCAUUAAUUUGGUGUUGCGGGGAAUUUGGACUGUUACUUUGAAAAAAUUAGAGUGUUUAAAGCAAGCUAACGCUUGAAUACAUUAGCAUGGAAUAAUGAAAUAGGACGUUCGAUCCUAUUUUGUUGGUUUCUAGGAUUGACGUAAUGAUUAAUAGGGAUAGUUGGGGGCAUUAGUAUUCAAUUGUCAGAGGUGAAAUUCUUGGAUUUAUUGAAGACUAACUACUGCGAAAGCAUUUGCCAAGGAUGUUUUCAUUAAUCAAGAACGAAAGUUAGGGGAUCGAAGACGAUC